rnacentral:rRNA from 1 species
GGAGGAAUAGCGAGGCUUGGAUCGAUUAGCCAUGCUAGUUGCACGAGCUCAGACUCGUAGCAGAUAGCUCAGUAACACGUGGCCAAACUACCCUCUGGAGGGGACCAACCUCGGGAAACUGAGGCUAAUUCCCCAUACCGCUCGACGCCUGGAACUGGCGCGAGCUCGAAACGCCCCGGCGCCAGAGGAUGUGGCUGCGGCCGAUUAGGUAGACGGUGGGGUAACGGCCCACCGUGCCAGUAAUCGGUACGGGUUGUGAGAGCAAGAGCCCGGAGACGGUAUCUGAGACAAGAUACCGGGCCCUACGGGGCGCAGCAGGCGCGAAACCUUUACACUGCACGCCAGUGCGAUAAGGGGACUCCAAGUGCGAGGGCAUAGAGCCCUCGCUUUUCUGAACCGUAAGGUGGUUCAGGAACAAGUGCUGGGCAAGACCGGUGCCAGCCGCCGCGGUAAUACCGGCAGCACGAGUGAUGGCCGCUCUUAUUGGGCCUAAAGCGUCCGUAGCUGGCCAGGCAAGUCCAUCGGGAAAUCUCCCCGCCUAACGGGGAGGCGUCCGGUGGAAACUGCCUGGCUUGGGACCGGAAGACCAGAGGGGUACGUCCGGGGUAGGAGUGAAAUCCCGUAAUCCUGGACGGACCACCGGUGGCGAAAGCGCCUCUGGAAGACGGAUCCGACGGUGAGGGACGAAAGCUCGGGUCACGAACCGGAUUAGAUACCCGGGUAGUCCGAGCUGUAAACGAUGUCUGCUAGGUGUGCCACAGGCUACGAGCCUGUGGUGUGCCGCAGGGAAGCCGUGAAGCAGACCGCCUGGGAAGUACGUCCGCAAGGAUGAAACUUAAAGGAAUUGGCGGGGGAGCACUACAACCGGAGGAGCCUGCGGUUUAAUUGGACUCAACGCCGGACAUCUCACCAGCAUCGACAGUAGGAGUGACGGUCAGUGUGAUGAGCUUACCAGACCUACUGAGAGGAGGUGCAUGGCCGCCGUCAGCUCGUACCGUGAGCGUCCUGUUAAGUCAGCACGAGCGAGACCCGCACUCCUAAUGCCAGCACACCCUUGUGUGUGGGUACAUUAGGAGGACUGCAGUGCAAACUGAGAGACGGGCACGGUAGUCAGUAUGCCCGAUGUGCUGGCACCCGCGGCUACAUGGUCGAAAAGUGGAUGCACCCGGAGGGCCUUAUCUCGACUCGAUCGUAUUCGAAUGCGGGACCUGAAUCUGUUC